GAUGAACGCUGGCGGCGUGCCUAAUACAUGCAAGUCGAGCGAACAGACGAGGAGCUUGCUCCUCUGACGUUAGCGGCGGACGGGUGAGUAACACGUGGAUAACCUACCUAUAAGACUGGGAUAACUUCGGGAAACCGGAGCUAAUACCGGAUAAUAUAUUGAACCGCAUGGUUCAAUAGAGAAAGACGGUUUUUCUGGCACUUAUAGAUGGUUCUGCGCCGCAUUAGCUAGUUGUUAAGGUAACGGCUUACCAAGGCAACGAUGCGUAGCCGACCUGAGAGGGUGAUCGGCCACACUGGAACUGGGACACGGUCCAGACGCCUGCGGGAGGCAGCAGUAGGGAAUCUUCCGCAAUGGGCGAAAGCUUGGCGGAGCAACGCCGCGUGAGUGAUGAAGAUCUUCGGAUCGUAAAACUCUGUUAUUAGGGAAGAACAAAUGUGUAAGUAACUAUGCACGUCUUGACGGUACCUAAUCAGAAAGCCACGGCUAACUACGUG
rnacentral:rRNA from 1 species